GAUGAACGCUAGCGGCAGGCUUAACACAUGCAAGUCGAGGGGUAGAACACUUCGGUGUUUGAGACCGGCGCACGGGUGCGUAACGCGUAUGCAAUCUGCCUUGUACAAAGGGAUAGCCCAGAGAAAUUUGGAUUAAUACCUUAUAGUAUAUAGAUGUGGCAUCAUAUUUAUAUUAAAGAUUUAUCGGUACAAGAUGAGCAUGCGUCCCAUUAGCUAGUUGGUAUGGUAACGGCAUACCAAGGCAAUGAUGGGUAGGGGCCCUGAGAGGGAGAUCCCCCACACUGGUACUGAGACACGGACCAGACUCCUACGGGAGGCAGCAGUGAGGAAUAUUGGUCAAUGGGCGCAAGCCUGAACCAGCCAUGCCGCGUUCAGGAUGACGGUCCUAUGGAUUGUAAACUGCUUUUGUACGGGAAGAAACACUCCUACGUGUAGGAGCUUGACGGUACCGUAAGAAUAAGGAUCGGCUAACUCCGUGCCAGCCGCCGCAGUAA
rnacentral:rRNA from 1 species